rnacentral:rRNA from 1 species
UCGCUACUACCGAUCGGAUUUAUUAGUGAGACCUAAGGACUUGAGGUGAAAGAACUUUCUUGUUAUUAACCGUCAAGGAAAUAGUUCAAACUGAUAUUUCUAGAGGAAGUAA